GGGACGGGUGAGGUGACGGCUGCACCACGUGGUGGACAUGCUUCAUGCCACCGAACCGUAGGCUUCACCUGCUUGCAAGGGUGACAACAGGAGACUCAUGUGCACCAGUUUGCCCUUUCUGGUUCUUCGUGCCCUCACGCAUAAAACGAGAGUGCUGCUACCGCCAGAGAAGUUUAACAGCCUGCCCCCAGUCUCAGAGCCGAUGAAGAGUCUGAACCACUAACAGAUGACAUCACUUGGCCACGGUCACACAGCUUCUGGAGCCCGUGUUCUGUCUUUAUGCAGGAGAAGGAAUACGCAUGGCACUUCUCUAAAGGAAAAACAAGCUGAUGUGAGGGAUUCUUUCAAGAAAGCAAAUUUCAGGGCCACUGCUGAGAUCACCACCCAUUCAGCAAACGUCCCCAACGCGGAAUGCACUUCUGUAUGUCAGCACAAGGAAUGACUGAUGCCACCAUCAUGACCUGCAACCGCCAAGGAAAGGUUAAUUCGUAUUUUGCAAGCUCUGUCUAAUAAGGUGGAGUGAGUAACAAGCUUUAAAAAGAUCUCCAUCAAAAGCAAGUCACCAAAGUGAAACACUCAGAGGAAUUCACCCCUCUCUCUGAAAAGCUUGGCUUCUCCCGGUGACACAUUCUAGAGGACACUUUUUAACCGUUGUCCCCUGUGGAGGGUCUCUGCUGUUAUGUCACCAGUGUUACCAGUGCAUCUGUGAAACAGGAACGAGCAGUCUCCCUCCAUUAUUUCCCCAUAAGCCCUCCCAGAAGAUGGCCAGGGGAGGGGGGAGGGGGAUCACGUGGGGAAGUUCUCUUUCUUCCACUGGUCUCGGUCUGAAAUUCCCCAAAUGCUCAAGGCUCUGCCACACUGGGCAGCAGUUGCCCUGGCGUCCUGCCCGCCUUUGCACAAAGCAAUCAGUGUUGCAGAAAAUGAGGGUCCUGUGACCACUGGGCACCAUCCCCUGCCUGGCAUUUGCGUGGGAGAAGGAACGUCCUUUUUCCCUGACAAUAGAUUCUGGUCACAAACCAGGCUUUUCAGGGAAACAGCUUCCCGUAGAAUGAGUGCCUACAGGUGAGAACUGAGUGGUGCAACAGAAGGAACUUCCUGCGGGAAGCCUGCUAAUGUCACUGGGAGAUCAGUGACAGCCUGUGAGGGCCUCGUGCAGCUUCCCACGCCCUGCCCUCGCUGCCAUCAGCCUGCACCCAGGACCCCUCUCCCCUCACCCUGUUCCUCUCCUUGAAUUUGCUUCAAUGGUGGCCUGUCUGCUCCCUGGCCAUCGUGACAAGUUAGUGGCCUAGAAUUCCAGCCUCACCCCUGAAUGCAGGUGUAACCAUCCUUAUAGUGUUUCUUCCCUGGGUUACUUUACUAAGAAAUCAGCAUCAGUAGAAUACCAUUGGCUAAAUUACAGAGUUUAUUUGGAUUUCCCCACUCUUUCCACGAGUGUCCUUUUUCUGUUCCAGGACACCAUAUUGUAUCACAUCUCGUGUGACCUGUGAAAGUUUCUCUAUUGUUCCUUAUUUUUCGUGACCUUGACACUUACGGGUAUUUUAGUUGAUGUCCCUCAGUUGGAGUUUGUCUGAGGUUUUCUCGUGAUGAGUCCAGGGUUGCGAGUUUUCUGGGAGACUACCACGGAGGUGAAGUGCCCUUGCUCUUUGCACCAUGUCAGGAAGGACGUGACAUCACCAAGACUAAUGGUGAAGUGAACCUUGAUCGCAUGGGUGAGGCUCUGCCAGGAUUCUCCACUGUAAUGUUGCUACUUCUCCCGUUUUAGACUCUACGAGGAGGAGGGGACCCAGAAAACACCCUGGAAUUAUCUUCUGGAGGGCAGUCCCUUGUAGUACAGGCUCCCCCUGCUAGGUGAGUGUCCUGGGAACUCGUCUGUAUCAGCAUAUAAGCUGGCAGUGUGGCGAGAGGCUCCCUAUGGCUUCGGUCCACUUUUUUUAAGACUCCUUGAACCCCUUUGCCCAUUUCAUGAUGGGUGAUUUGUGAGCGCACCUGCCCGCACUUGCACUGAGUGUUCAGCAAUUUUUGACCAAGAGAUGGCACGACCCCCAUGUCCCAUCUUCCGUGUUCACCUAUUCACCUGAUCUCACCCUAGCAACUUUUCUUUGUUUCCUUGAUGAAAAAAAGUCCUCAAAGGGAAACGUUUUGCCGACGUGGAUGAGCUGAACCAAAAAACAGCAGAAGCACCAAAAGGCAUCGAAGUCUGUGGGUUCAAAAACUCUUGAGCAGCGGAGAAGAAUCUCAGUGUGUGUACUGCACCCAGUGGAGAGCACUUGAAAGGUGACUGAAGUUUCAACGUGUAAGAAUAAACACACAAUUUU